GAUGAACGCUGGCGGCGUGCUUAACACAUGCAAGUCGAACGAUGAAGCCCAGCUUGCUGGGUGGAUUAGUGGCGAACGGGUGAGUAACACGUGAGCAACCUGCCCCUGACUCUGGGAUAAGCACUGGAAACGGCGUCUAAUACUGGAUAUGUCCCGUCACCGCAUGGUGUGCGGGUGGAAAGAUUUUUCGGUUGGGGAUGGGCUCGCGGCCUAUCAGCUUGUUGGUGAGGUAAUGGCUCACCAAGGCGUCGACGGGUAGCCGGCCUGAGAGGGUGACCGGCCACACUGGGACUGAGACACGGCCCAGACUCCUACGGGAGGCAGCAGUGGGGAAUAUUGCACAAUGGGCGAAAGCCUGAUGCAGCAACGCCGCGUGAGGGAUGACGGCCUUCGGGUUGUAAACCUCUUUUAGCAGGGAAGAAGCGAAAGUGACGGUACCUGCAGAAAAAGCACCGGCUAACUACGUGCCAGCCGCCGCGGUAACAC
rnacentral:rRNA from 1 species